CGCGUAGGCGGUCUUUUAAGUCAGAUGUGAAAGCCCGGGGCUCAACCCCGGAAGUGCAUUUGAAACUAAGAGACUUGAGUAUGGGAGAGGGAAGUGGAAUUCCUGGUGUAGAGGUGAAAUUCGUAGAUAUCAGGAGGAACACCGGUGGCGAAGGCGACUUCCUGGACCAAUACUGACGCUGAGGCGCGAAGGCGUGGGGAGCAAACAGGAUUAGAUACCCUGGUAGUCC
rnacentral:rRNA from 1 species